rnacentral:rRNA from 1 species
UAAUACCGGAUACUUUCCCUGGUGGGCAUCCACUGGGGAAGAAAGAAUUUCGGUCAAGGAUGAUCUCGCGGCCUAUCAGCUAGUUGGUGAGGUAACGGCUCACCAAGGCGACGACGGGUAGCCGGCCUGAGAGGGUGACCGGCCACACUGGGACUGAGACACGGCCCAGACUCCUACGGGAGGCAGCAGUGGGGAAUAUUGCACAAUGGGCGCAAGCCUGAUGCAGCAACGCCGCGUGAGGGACGAAGGCCUUCGGGUUGUAAACUGCUUUUUUCAGAGAAGAAGCGAAAGUGACGGUACCUGCAGAAAAAGCACCGGCUAACUCUGUGCCAGCAGCCGCGGUAAUACAGAGGGUGCAAGCGUUGUCCGGAAUUAUUGGGCGUAAAGAGCUCGUAGGUGGUUUGUCGCGUCUGCUGUCAAAAUCCGAGGCUCAACCUCGGACCUGCAGUGGGUACGGGCAAACUAGAGUGCGGU